rnacentral:rRNA from 1 species
GAAACUUCGGCUAACACCGCAUGACACCUUCGGGUCAAAGGCGCCAGUGACAUGGUGGUCGCCUGGGGAGGUGCCUGCGUCCGAUUAGCUAGUUGGUGGGGUAAAGGCCUACCAAGGCUGCGAUCGGUAGCUGGUCUGAGAGGAUGAUCAGCCACACUGGGACUGAGACACGGCCCAG